UCGUCGUCCUCUCCAACCCCCAACUCCCAUCCACCACUCAACUGGUACUCGCUCAGCGUGGAGGAGUGGAGAUCUAUCCGGUUCGGGGCCGUCUUCGUUUGCUGAAUCCGCUUUCUUGGAUGGAUUUUCCUGUGGGUGAAUUUGUUUACAGUAGAAUUUGGCUAGCUUGUUUAUUUAAUAGGCCAAAUUAAUUAAUUGCUGGCAGAGUUGAUUAAUUGGCAAGGUGCUGUGACUCUCAGGCUGUACGUACUGCAUAUGUAUGUUUGGAAGGAGCAAUGUGCAUCAGGGGUCAAGAUUUCAGUACGUCAUUAAGCAAUGGAGGCUCCGAUUGGUGAUCAUAGAAGGAAGGCAACCCGUGCGUGCAUACAUUGAGGAUUUCUAUAUUUUCUGGUCGCUGGUGUACAUGGUUUCAUAUUUGAAUGGGAGAAGAGGAUUAGAUAUAGAAUAUAUUGUAAUUGAU
rnacentral:lncRNA from 1 species